rnacentral:rRNA from 1 species
UACAGACGGCGCAAGCGUUAUCCGGAAUGAUUGGGCGUAAAGCGUCUGUAGGUGGUUUCCGAAGUCUACUGUCAAAUCCCAGGGCUCAACCUUGGACGGGCAGUGGAGAACUCGGGGGCUAGAGUACGGUAGGGGUAGAGGGAAUUCCCGGUGAAGCAGUGAAAUGCACAGAGAUCGGGAAGAACACCAGUGGCGAAGGCGCUCUACUAGGCCGUGACUGACACUGAGAGACGAUAGCUAGGGGAGCGAAUAGG